AGCAGCCGCGGUAAUUCCAGCUCCAAUAGCGUAUAUUAAAGUUGUUGCAGUUAAAAAGCUCGUAGUUGAAUUUCGAGAUCAGUACGCUGGUCGUGCCUUCGGUAUGCACUGGUGUCACUGGUUUCUCCCUUCUGAAGAACCGUCAUGUCAUUAAGUUGGUGUGGCGGGGAAUCAGGACUGUUACUUUGAAAAAAUUAGAGUGUUUAAAGCAGGCUCGCGCUUGAAUACAUUAGCAUGGAAUAAUGAAAUAGGACGUUUGACCCUAUUUUGUUGGUUUCUAGGAUCGACGUAAUGAUUAAUAGGGAUAGUUGGGG
rnacentral:rRNA from 1 species